rnacentral:rRNA from 1 species
UGCAAGUCGAACGGACUUAAUCGAAAUAUUUAUAUUUUGAAGCGGUUAGUGGCGGACUGGUGAGUAACGCGUAAGGAACCUGCCUAUUAGAGGGGAAUAACAGUGAGAAAUCAUUGCUAAUACCGCAUAUGCCAUAGAUAUCACAUGAUAACAGUGGUAAAGGAGCAAUCCGCUAAUAGAUGGCCUUGCGUCUGAUUAGAUAGUUGGUGGGGUAACGGCCUACCAAGUCGACGAUCAGUAGCCGGACUGAGAGGUUGAACGGCCACAUUGGGACUGAGAUACGGCCCAGACUCCUACGGGAGGCAGCAGUCGGGAAUAUUGCGCAAUGGAGGAAACUCUGACGCAGUGAAGCCGCGUAUAGGAAGAAGGUUUUCGGAUUGUAAACUAUUGUCGUUAGGGAAGAGAAAGGACAGUACCUAAGGAGGAAGCUCCGGCUAACUACGUGCCAGCAGCCGCGGUAAUACGUAGGGAGCGAGCGUUAUCCGGAAUUAUUGGGUGUAAAGGGUGCGUAGACGGGAGAACAAGUUAGUUGUGAAAUACCUCGGCUCAACUGAGGAACUGCAACUAAAACUGUACUUCUUGAGUGCAGGAGAGGUAAGUGGAAUUCCUAGUGUAGCGGUGAAAUGCGUAGAUAUUAGGAGGAACACCAGUGGCGAAGGCGACUUACUGGAC